rnacentral:other from 1 species
CGUUCUCUGCGGUGUUCGAGAAUCGGGCCGGGUAACCCCUUGAUCCUAAUAUGAUUAUACCCCGGGAGCACGGUGGUCGGUGUUGGUGUGCACGUCCGCCACCCCGCGGAAAGCCUGAUACACCGCUCUGUUCCCCCACUUGAGCCGCACGGUUCAAGGGCGAAGGCCCCAUACGGCACGGGCGGAGGACGC